AUUGAACGCUGGCGGCAGGCCUAACACAUGCAAGUCGAGCGGAUGAAGGGAGCUUGCUCCUGGAUUCAGCGGCGGACGGGUGAGUAAUGCCUAGGAAUCUGCCUGGUAGUGGGGGAUAACGUCCGGAAACGGGCGCUAAUACCGCAUACGUCCUGAGGGAGAAAGUGGGGGAUCUUCGGACCUCACGCUAUCAGAUGAGCCUAGGUCGGAUUAGCUAGUUGGUGGGGUAAAGGCCUACCAAGGCGACGAUCCGUAACUGGUCUGAGAGGAUGAUCAGUCACACUGGAACUGAGACACGGCCCAGACUCCUACGGGAGGCAGCAUGGGGAAUAUUGGACAAUGAGCGAAAGCCUGAUCCAGCCAUGCCGCGUGUGUGAAGAAGGUCUUCGGAUUGUAAAGCACUUUAAGUUGGGAGGAAGGGCAGUAAGUUAAUACCUUGCUGUUUUGACGUUACCAACAGAAUAAGCACCGGCUAACUUCGUG
rnacentral:rRNA from 1 species